UANNGAUGNAAGUNGAGCGAUGAAGCUCCUUCGGGAGUGGAUUAGCUUCUGACGGGUGAGUAAGAGAGAAAGUAACCUACCUGUAAGACUGGGAUAACUCCGGGAAACCGGUGCUAAUACCAGAUAGUUUCUUUUCUCGCAUGAGUGAAGAAGGAAAGAUGGCUCCGGCUAUUACUUACGGAUGGACCCGCGGCGCAUUAGCUAGUUGGUGAGGUAAUGGCUCACCAAGGCAACGAUGCGUAGCCGACCUGAGAGGGUGAUCGGCCACACUGGGACUGAGACACGGCCCAGACUC
rnacentral:misc_RNA from 1 species